UGAAUUUGACAACCUAGAAAGUCAGCUUAUCGUCGAUGAGAUGCCUGAAGUGCCUACAAAGGAGUCCGAAGAAUCUGAGAAGCUGGAUCUUCCGGAUGUGCCAACAAAAACACCUGUCGCUUCCAAUGCGGAAAUCAAACCAGCUGAAUCCGUCACUAAAUCAAAAGUUCUUGAAGAACCUUCGCCAGCUUGAGCUAGAAGAAACUGAUCAGCAAGACGGAGGAUUUUAUCAUUCUUUUAGCACUUUCUUUUGUGUGUCUUUAUUGCUCUUGAAGUCACUGUCAAAUUUGUAUAUUUGGAAUCCUAUUGUGUUUUAAUCGAAAGUCAACAUUCACUAAAUACUUCCCAGGCCUUCAUCUGUCAAAGACUGUACAGUCAUAUCUGAACAUUCUCGCAAAUCCCUUAUGUUGUAAGAAGGUGGUUAAAUAAUGAAAAACUAGAUUAUGGUAAGAGUUUCCGAACAUCUCUUAUUUUAUUAUCAA